UACGAAGGGGGCUAGCGUUGUUCGGAAUUACUGGGCGUAAAGGGCUCGUAGGUGGCCAACUAAGUCAGACGUGAAAUCCCUCGGCUUAACCGGGGAACUGCGUCUGAUACUGGAUGGCUUGAGUUUGGGAGAGGGACGCGGAAUUCCAGGUGUAGCGGUGAAAUGCGUAGAUAUCUGGAGGAACACCGGUGGCGAAGGCGGCGUCCUGGACCAACACUGACACUGAUGAGCGAAAGCCAGGGGAGCAAACGGG
rnacentral:rRNA from 1 species